rnacentral:rRNA from 1 species
AUGCACGCUGGCGGCGUGCCUAAUACAUGCAGGUCGAGCGCACAGACGAGGAGCUUGCUCCUCUGACGUUAGCGGCGGACGGGUGAGUAACACGUGGAUAACCUACCUAUAAGACUGGGAUAACUUCGGGAAACCGGAGCUAAUACCGGAUAAUAUAUUGAACCGCAUGGUUCAAUAGUGAAAGACGGUUUUGCUGUCACUUAUAGAUGGAUCCGCGCCGCAUUAGCUAGUUGGUAAGGUAACGGCUUACCAAGGCAACGAUGCGUAGCCGACCUGAGAGGGUGAUCGGCCACACUGGAACUGAGACACGGUCCAGACUCCUACGGGAGGCAGCAGUAGGGAAUCUUCCGCAAUGGGCGAAAGCUUGACGGAGCAACGCCGCGUGAGUGAUGAAGGUCUUCGGAUCGUAAAACUCUGUUAUUAGGGAAGAACAAAUGUGUAAGUAACUACGCACGUCUUGACGGUACCUAAUCAGAAAGCCACGGCUAACUACGUG